UUCAAACCAAAUGUCAUCAAGGAGGCUAAGCGUUUCACUUCUCCACCUGAGUUGAGAAGUUUGGUGCAGUCAGCGGAAAGUCUUCAAAGCGAUGACCUCACUAACACAUCUAGCUAUGACCAAGAAAUGGCCUCGCUGUUACUUCUCUUACAUCUUCUUCCACCGCAACCAGGAGGACAGAAGUCUCCAAAAAUCAGUGCAAGUGAUGCAGAUGAGAGACUUGUUGUCAUUCAUAAGUCAUGCUGCAGUUUAGAGGAGCAUCUUCGGGGACAAUGGGGUCUGCAGCCAUACCUCCUUGCUGUUGGGCGUCAGAAAAGCAAGAUUGACAGCUUCUACAUCGUCAUGGAUAAGUGCCUCAUCCCAUGCCAGACAAACAGUUCUCUUGGAACAUUUGAUGAGCUAU